rnacentral:hammerhead_ribozyme from 1 species
AUUCACUGACGAGUCCCAAAUAGAACGAAACGUGCAUUGUCCUGGAU